UACGUAGGGGCCUAGCGUUGUCCGGAUUUAUUGGGCGUAAAGAGCUCGUAGGCGGUUCGGUAAGUCAGGUGUGAAAUCUCCACGCUCAACGUGGAGGCGCCACCUGAAACUGCCGUGACUAGAGUGCGGUAGGGGAGACUGGAAUUCCUGGUGUAGCGGUGAAAUGCGCAGAUAUCGGGAGGAACACCUAUGGCGAAGGCAGCUCGCUGGGACGUUACUGACGCUGAGACGCGAAAGCGUGGGGAGCAAACAGG
rnacentral:rRNA from 1 species